rnacentral:rRNA from 1 species
GAUGAACGCUAGCUACAGGCUUAACACAUGCAAGUCGAGGGGAAACGGCAUCGAAAGCUUGCUUUUGAUGGGCGUCGACCGGCGCACGGGUGAGUAACGCGUAUCCAACCUGCCCAUCACUUGGGAAUAACCUUGCGAAAGUAAGACUAAUGCCCAAUGACAUCCCACGAAGGCAUCCGAAUGGGAUUAAAGAUUUAUCGGUGAUGGAUGGGGAUGCGUCUGAUUAGCUUGUUGGCGGGGUGACGGCCCACCAAGGCAACGAUCAGUAGGGGUUCUGAGAGGAAGGUCCCCCACAGUGGAACUGAGACACGGUCCAAACUCCUACGGGAGGCAGCAGUAAGGGAUAUUGGUGAAUGGGCGAGAGCCUGAACCAGCCAAGUAGCGUGCAGGAUGACGGCCCUAUGGGUUGUAAACUGCUUUUAUAAGGGAAUAAAGUGGGUCACGUGUGACUUUUUGCAUGUACCUUAUGAAUAAGGACCGGCUAAUUCCGUG